rnacentral:rRNA from 1 species
GGAUUGCCUUAGUAGCGGCGAGUGAAGCGGCAAAAGCUCAAAUUUGAAAUCUGGCGCCUUCGGUGUCCGAGUUGUAAUUUGAAGAUUGUAACCUUGGAGUUGGCUCUUGUCUAUGUUUCUUGGAACAGGACGUCACAGAGGGUGAGAAUCCCGUGCGAUGAGAUGCCCAAUUCUAUGUAAGGUGCUUUCGAAGAGUCGAGUUGUUUGGGAAUGCAGCUCUAAGUGGGUGGUAAAUUCCAUCUAAAGCUAAAUAUUGGCGAGAGACCGAUAGCGAACAAGUACAGUGAUGGAAAGAUGAAAAGAACUUUGAAAAGAGAGUGAAAAAGUACGUGAAAUUGUUGAAAGGGAAGGGUUUGAGAUCAGACUCGAUAUUUUGUGAGCCUUGCCUUCGUGGCGGGGUGACCCGCAGCUUAUCGGGCCAGCAUCGGUUUGGGCGGUAGGAUAAUGGCGUAGGAAUGUGACUUUACUUCGGUGAAGUGUUAUAGCCUGCGUUGAUGCUGCCUGCCUAGACCGAGGACUGCGAUUUUAUCAAGGAUGCUGGCAUAAUG